GUCCAUGCAGUGCGAUGAAUAGCACGUUGGACAAAUAAUCCAAACGUCAUCGGUUCAAAUCCGACCUGGGAUG